GCCUCCAAUUUCAGAAAAUGUAACCAGUUUUGAAAUGAACGCUGAAUGCCAAGGUGGUUGUAUCUUACUCAAUGAUGCCGCCAACUUGGAAGGAAACAAUUCAUAUGAGAUUUGUUUUAAUGCUUUUCAUCAUAAUUUGAGAUACAUUGCCAGAAUGUCAGGCGAUGAUUCAGUGGUGUUAAAAACUGUUGAUAUACCGGAGAUACUAACCAUUUGUGAUGAUUACACACAGGUUUGGGUUAGAUGGAAAGAUGGUGUAAUUGGAUUUGGAACCGGAAGUAUAGGUUUGAAUGAGAAAAUAACUACAACAGACUCCAAACCGUUCCGUGUUUACGGCGUUGGUGUCACGUCCUUCCUACUUGGUGUUUGGAAAGUUAAUAUUAAAGGUAUAAUUAUCUCAGUAUAUUUAUAACAUCUUGUGUUUAAAAUUUCAAUAACAAUUGAGCUCGUAAAAUAUAUCAAUCGUGUGUUCUCGUUACAUAAUACUAGCAGUAGCCUAAAGUUAAAAAAAACAUUUUCAAAAGCGAAAAAGUUGAGCAUUCGAAACAUAAAAUAUUUGUACAGUUGUGCCGAAUAUGGGUUUAUAUAGGAAAAAGUAAAAUACCGAAUACUUUGGAAAAUCAAAAACGGGAAGACCCUAAUCAUAAGCCGAAAUCAAAAGCGCAAAUACAUUAAACGAAUGGAUAACAACUGUCAUCUUCCUAACUUGGUAAAGGCAUUAUCUUAUUUAGAAACUGGCGGUUUAGUUCUGGGUUUAAAGCUUAUUCGACACUUUUUUGACGGACGCAUACAAUUUCAUCAUAUUGACAACGAUGUGUGAACAAAAAAAACAGCCACAAAUAUGUCUAAAAUAGGGGUACAAUAGUCAAAAUUGUAUUGCGAUCAUUAUAAAAACAAACAAAUAUGUAACAAAGAAUCUAUCUUUUAUCCAAUACAAAACUCUAGUACUAUACAAAAAAUCAUGUGCUUUCUUAUUAUUGUAGAAUAUCUCUUAGCCAAUACAACCUACUAUUACUAUCCUGUGUUUUCAAAUAAGUAUUAUCUAACUUUUAGCAAAUACAUCACAUGUGUUUUCUAAUAAUUGUUAACUAUCUUUUAGCAAUCCCAACCGGAUAUUACUGCGCGAUGACUUACACAUAUUGCUACACAAAAUUAUUGUCAGUAUCAACUCAAAAGAUCAGAACAUAUUGUGCAUCAGAAUGUCAGAAAUCUAACGACUGCGUUGGAUUCAAUUAUCGAUAUGGAGGAAGUAUGAACUGUGAACUGAUUGAGGGUGGAAAUAUAAUAGAAACUGAAGAUGAUUAUGAAUGGCAUUACUAUGCAAAAUGCUUGCAAGACAAGACUGCUUGUCUUAAGUGCCGUUAAAAUUUAAAACUCUCAAGUUAACAUUGCAUGCUUGAAGGAUCAUUUUUCAAAUUAACGUCCUUUGUGGAGGUUUUGUACGUGUGAUAUGUCUGUGUCAACAUACAACAUUACAAAUAAAAUUAAUACAAAUUUGAAAUAAAAGGAGA
rnacentral:lncRNA from 1 species